UGGGGAAUUUUGGACAAUGGGCGAAAGCCUGAUCCAGCAAUGCCGCGUGUGUGAAGAAGGCCUUCGGGUUGUAAAGCACUUUUGUCCGGAAAGAAAUCCUUGGCUCUAAUACAGUCGGGGGAUGACGGUACCGGAAGAAUAAGCACCGGCUAACUACGUGCCAGCAGCCGCGGUAAUACGUAGGGUGCAAGCGUUAAUCGGAAUUACUGGGCGUAAAGCGUGCGCAGGCGGUUUGCUAAGACCGAUGUGAAAUCCCCGGGCUCAACCUGGGAACUGCAUUGGUGACUGGCAGGCUAGAGUAUGGCAGAGGGGGGUAGAAUUCCACGUGUAGCAGUGAAAUGCGUGGAGAUGUGGAGGAAUACCGAUGGCGAAGGCAGCCCCCUGGGCCAAUACUGACGCUCAUGCACGAAAGCGUGGGGAGCAAACAGGAUUAGAUACCCUGGUAGUCCACGCCCUAAACGAUGUCAACUAGUUGUUGGGGAUUCAUUUCCUUAGUAACGUAGCUAACGCGUGAAGUUGACCGCCUGGGGAGUACGGUCGCAAGAUUAAAACUCAAAUGAAUUGACGGGGUCAUAGCUG
rnacentral:rRNA from 1 species